rnacentral:rRNA from 1 species
GAUGAACGCUGGCGGCGUGCCUAAUACAUGCAAGUCGAGCGAACGGACGAGAAGCUUGCUUCUCUGAUGUUAGCGGCGGACGGGUGAGUAACACGUGGAUAACCUACCUAUAAGACUGGGAUAACUUCGGGAAACCGGAGCUAAUACCGGAUAAUAUUUUGAACCGCAUGGUUCAAAAGUGAAAGACGGUCUUGCUGUCACUUAUAGAUGGAUCCGCGCUGCAUUAGCUAGUUGGUAAGGUAACGGCUUACCAAGGCAACGAUGCAUAGCCGACCUGAGAGGGUGAUCGGCCACCCUGGAACUGAGACACGGUCCAGACUCCUACGGGAGGCAGCAGUAGGGAAUCUUCCGCAAUGGGCGAAAGCCUGACGGAGCAACGCCGCGUGAGUGAUGAAGGUCUUCGGAUCGUAAAACUCUGUUAUUAGGGAAGAACAUAUGUGUAAGUAACUGUGCACAUCUUGCCGGUACCUAAUCAGAAAGCCACGGCUAACUA